rnacentral:rRNA from 1 species
UAGUAAUCGUGGMUCAGAAUGCCACGGWRUAAUACGUUSCCGGGYCUUGUACACAMCGMCMGUCACACCAUGGGAGUGGGUUGCAAAAGAAGUAGGUAGCUUAACCGUCGGGAGGGCGCUUACCACUUUGUGAUUCAUGACUGGGGUGAAGUCGUAACAAGGUAACCGUAGGGGAACCUGCGGUUGGAUCACCUCCUUACCUUAAAGAAGC